GAUGAAGAACGUAGCGAAAUGCGAUAAGUAAUGUGAAUUGCAGAAUUCAGUGAAUCAUCGAAUCUUUGAACGCAUAUUGCGCUCUUUGGUAUUCCGAAGAGCAUGCUUGUUUGAGUAUCAGUAAACACCUCAACCUCUUCUUGAUUUUUCAAAAGGAGGGUGGACUUGAGCUAUCCCAACAACCUUUACCGGUCGGCGGGCGGCUUGAAAUGCAGGUGCAGCUGGACUUUUAUCUGAGCUAAAAGCAUAUCUAUUUAGUCCUCGUCAAACAGGAUUAUUACUUUUGCUGCAGCUAACAUAAAGGAUAAUUGUCCUCUUUGCUGACUGAUGCAGGAUUUUACGACACUUUAUGUGUUGUUCAACUCGAUCUCAAAUCAAGUAAGACUACCCGCUGAACUUAAGCAUAUCAAUAAGGGGAGGA
rnacentral:misc_RNA from 1 species